AUUGAACGCUGGCGGCAGGCUUAACACAUGCAAGUCGAGCGAGCGGCGGACGGGUGAGUAAUGUCUGGGAAACUGCCUGAUGGAGGGGGAUAACUACUGGAAACGGUAGCUAAUACCGCAUACCAUCAGAUGUGCCCAGAUGGGAUUAGCUAGUAGGUGGGGUAAUGGCUCACCUAGGCGACGAUCCCUAGCUGGUCUGAGAGGAUGACCAGCCACACGGGAACUGAGACACGGCCCAGACCCCUACGGGAGUCAGCGGUGGGGAAUAUUGGACAAUGGGCGCAAGCCUGAUGCAGCAAUGCCGCGUGUUUGUGGCAGGCCUUCGGGUUGUAAAGCACUUUCAGCGAGGAGGCGUUACUCGCAGAGGAAGCACCGGCUAACUCCGUGCCAGCAGCCGCGGUAAUUC
rnacentral:rRNA from 1 species